AAAGAGCAGUUGGUUCAGCCUGCGGCAGGUGGGUCCAGGGUGUUUCUAGGGAGCGACACAGACAAGAAUCCGCCGCAGCGCUCUGUGACCUCGUUCCUCCCCCCUCCCUGGAAUCUGGUGGUUCCCUAUGUUACUAGAAAUAAAGGAGCCAUCCGUCAGGAAAACACUUUUUUUUUUUUGUAUAGAGAUUAUAAAUUACUCCCUUUUAAAAUAAACUUAAAAAUUUUUUUAACAGCUUUAGUGAGAGAAUUUACAUACAUAAAGGUCACCCAUUUAAUCCUUUUUAGACUGGAAAUGCUCUGGUUGAAGAGUUCCUGGUUACAUAAGAUGUUUAUGAAGAUGCUGUUUUAAUGGGAGGUGACAAAAACAAAGUAAGACAUUGGAUCUACUUUGGAAAAAAUAAGGGGGUGCCCACAUACAAGUACACAUGUGACCGGGAGGAAGGCCCUCAGAAUGUCGAGUGCGGUCAUCUCUGUCUGCGCUGACCCAUCCUCAGCUCCCCCAGGAGCCCGGCGCUCAGGGGCUCAGCACACACGGCUGCUGCUCCUGCUGCUGCUAAUGCCUUUAAAACCCUAGCAAAAGUUGUUAGCUACUUAAACAAAAUGCAAUGCAAGAUGGCAAGGAUGCUGAAAAAUCUGAAAAUUCUAAAAAAUAAACAAAAAGAAUAAAAAAAAAAUCAGUUAUUGUGGUUCAUUGACCACAUUUCUAUUAAAGCAAAUAAUUGGGAGUUGGGUGCAUUGCUGAAUAAACACUGGUCAUACUGGGCAAUUGGGCCAGGCCUACUGGUUGGAUCUCAGCUGAGUUGUGCCCAUGUCUGUGUGUGUGUGUCAGUGGCAGGGGUGGGGGCAGGCGGUGGGGAAGGGGACAGCUCAUCUCUUGUCACUACCUCUCCUCCUCUUUACACAACUAGCCCUGAACACCAAACCUUCUCUCGCAUGGUCUCUCUGCCUCCUUCCUUUCUCUCUGAGAGUAGCUGUGAGGCCCACGAUCUAAGAACACUCCUUCCCAGGCCACAGUCUGCAACUGUUCAUGACAUCACCUGCCCUCUGCCACUUCAUCCUCCCAUCUGGAUUGUCGUAAAUGGAGCAGGGACCAUGUUGUUUUUUUCAUGCCCCAUUUAUACUCUGUCCACAGCAAAUAUUCCAUAAAUGCCGUUGACUGAUUGAAUCACACCGGGUCUGCAGUGACCUGCAGAUGAACAAAUGGCUUUCCUGUGGGUCGUUGACUGCAGCAGUUUUCAUUAGAAUCACCUGGGGGAGCUCUAAGACCAUCCUGAUGCCCUGCUAGCCAACUACCUGCCUCUACUACCCUCUUCUACUCUGGACCAACGAAAUCAGAAUCUCUGGGGAGUGGGCCUGGGCGUCUGGGCAUUCUGAUUUCAUUGGUCUGGGGUUGGCAUGGAGUUGAGAACAACUGAUUUGCAUCAUCAUUUUCUUCACCAUCAACUGAGGAUGUAUUAAGGGCUUGUCACCGCCCCCAGGCAUUGUUGCAGGCACUCACAUGCAUUAUCUAGCUGAAUCCUCAUAAUAGCACUGCAAAGGUGUACCAUCGACAUCCGCAUUUCACAGAGGAGGAAGUUAAGGUUUAGAGAAGUUUAGUCAUGGACCAAUGUUGCAGAGCUAUUAAAUACCAGGAUGGGGUACUUAGUUUGAUCCAGCUCUAGCAAUUAAGUGUAACCACGCUAUUUGCUUCAGCUCAGAACUUUAAGUGACAGAUUAAGCAUUUUCUUGAAAACUCAGUUAUCCAGGAAUCUUAAUACAGACUCAUACUCUACCACAGGGAUCUAAGAAAGGAAAAGUUAGACCUUGGGAUAUAGUGUCUAUUUCAUGGCUUGCAGCUGCUAGAAAUUACCACCAGAUGGCAGCAGACACUGUAUAUUUAAAACCUCAAAGCCAAAACCCAAAACACAACAUGUCACAAUUAGAUGAGGUGGGAGCAGAUAACCAGAAGUCUGAAAGGAUCAUGUUUAUGUGAUUCUUUGCCCAGAAGCUAUCAAAAGAAUUCUGCUUACAUUAGGGGAAGGUUCGGAAGACCAUUGGUGGCUGGAUUGACUAUAGGUAAGAGGUGAGAGGUUGGGUUUUGAUCAUUUAUCCUUCUGGCAGGUAGCCAAGGCCCUCCUCUCGGUGGCUUCUGCUGGAGUCCUUCACUGGGUUUUAUCCUGCCCUUUAUUCUGGAUCCCUCUUCUGUGGAAACCUUAGAACUACUGUGUAAUUCCGUUCAAAAAGGUUUAUUAAUUGCCUACUGACUGUCUAGCACUGUUAAACGUGCUACAUGAACGACACAGGGUGAAUAAGAAUUGGCAAUCCAGCUGAGGGAAAGAAAAUGAAGACGUGGGAAACAAUUUGAUUUAUGUGGAAGUGAGACAGGUGAAGUUUCUCUUGUUCUUUGUGAUCUCUGAAGAUAGAAUAAUCUAGAAUAGGUACUUGACUGAAUUGGAAAAAUACAAUUUCAAGGCUGGAUGAGGUCUUAGUGAUCAGUUAGUGCAGUGGCUCCCAGAGUGCAGUCCGAGACCAGCAGCACUGGCAUCCCUGGGCGUUUUUUAGGAAGGUACAAUCUCGGCCUGCCCAGCCCUCCCGGAGCUGAGGCUCUGGGGGAGGGGCUGCACCAUCUGGGGCUUAACAAGCCCUCCAGGUGACUCUGUUGCAGCUCAAGUCUCAGGACCACGGGUUACGGUGCUUCCCUUUCCCCUCAGCCAGUUUUAUAGUUUAAGAAACCGAAGUCUAGACAGAUUGAUUUAAUCCAGAUUACAGAGCAAACAUACCUUUAAAGAAGGCUCACACCUGGGCUGGCCCGGUUCCUUCAGCCCCUGUUUGCCAGUGGCUGCAGUUAUGAAACACGGCAGUGGGUCCAGGGUUGGUAAAAGGCGGUGUCCUCUCGGGACUGAGGGCUGGGCAGCGGGAUGUUGGGGAGUUGAAUUGGUCCCAGCUGAUAACUUAAGUGACUUUUUGCAGGGGAACAUGUUCUGAGCCCAGGUUGGAUGAUCACACGCUGCGAUGAUGUAAAGGGGCCUUGAGGAGUGGAUGGUGGUCUGGCUGCUGUUGGAGGCCCCUUCCGGUGUGGAAAUUGAGAACGGAAGAGAGGUGCUCAUGUGUCUCUUGAAGAGACAAUGUUUUAAUCUAAAAGAGCUACUGGAAUGGGGCUUUGGAGGGCUAAAGUGGGCGAAGAGGCUGGGGUGGGGGUCGGGGUGGGAGUAAAAGGGAGGGUGAGGUUUGGGCCAGGUAGACUUUUGAGUGCCUUCCACCCAACUUCACUCCGAAGGCAGGAGGUCAUUUGGUGUGAAGGGAAAUCUGGUAUUCUGGGAUGACUAUGGGUGACUAUUAAAAAAAGAAAAGUUCGGGGACAGCCUUAGCAUCAGAUGGGCCAAACACCUGGGUUCUAAAUGUGUCCGGAGCUGCCGCACCCUGAUGGCAGGUGGUGAGUCAGUGAGACCAUUAGCCCAGCCCUCCUCAGGCUUUACGUACGUUUGAAUCACCUGCAGAUCUUGUUAAGGUGGAGAUUCUCGUUCAGCACAGGUGUGGGAUGAAGUGCGAGAAUUUGCAUUUCUAACAAGUUUCCAAGUGAUGCUGAUGCGCUGGUCCAGGGACCACACUUUGAGUGGCAAGGAGAGUUGCAUUAAGCUCCCCCUCCACCCCACCCCACCCCACCCCAUACCCACAUUAAGUUGGAAAUAGAAUUCUGCUUCCAAGUCCUCUUAGGAGUGAUACUUCUCCCAGAUUUUCCGCACAAGUCUCAUUUUCAUAUUUUCCCAUAAAUACAUUCAUAUCUGGCAGGCUUGGUUUGGAAAAGGUGGGCAACACACAUAGGGCGGGAGCGCAGCAUAGUGUUUAAGAGCUUGGGCUGGGGAGACCAUCCUCCUGGUUCAACUCCCUGCCCUGCCUGGGACUACCGUGUGACCUGGGGUAAGUUCUCUUUGCCUCAGUUUCCUUAUCUGUAAAAUGAAGUUGAUAAUAGUGCCGCCUUCAUAGGGUUGCUAUGAGAAUAAAAUGUGUUAAUGUUUGUAACCCACUUAGGACAGUGUCUUUAGUGGUUAAGGGUCUGUCCUCCAUCCCACGUCAACAGCAGCUGCAGGUCCUGCUGCACUGAGUCGACCAUAUUGGAUCCCGGGGCUGAAUCUGAAAUGAACGUUUUCUAAACUGAGUAGCAAUGAGAGCCUGAGGAUUUGCAUACUCGGAUGGCACCUCUGAAUCCAUUUUUUGUAAUUUGGGGAGAAGUGAGAUCGUGUCCUAAACUUAUAAUAACUUGUCAUGUGGGAAGACCUCUUCCUAACCCCCCAAUUUGCACACUUCUAAAACCAUAUUAAGAUACAUGUGAGCAAGAAAGCUUGAGUUGUUCAUUGAGGAAAAACAUUUGUUCUGAGGUUUUAGGCUAACUUUCCAUAGAGGGCUGAUGUCAGAAUCUGUGCUCCAGAGGGCCCCACUGGGUCAGCCAAUGGCAAAGGGAAG